AAAUAAAUAAAAUCUUAAAAACAAAAUUGGAACGAUACAGAGAAGAUUAGCAUGGCCCCUGCACACGAAUGACAUGCAAAUUCGUGAAGCAUUCCAGAUUUUA